CCGCCUCGCGGUGCCGGGGACCGGAGCCGGGGCGCGGGCGCGGCUGCGCUGGGCGCCAGGAGGGGGCGGUGGCCCGCACGUGCGUAGGGGGAGGGGGCGUCCGGGCUGCCCGCACGUGGGGCUGCAGCCGCACGCCUACGCGGAGCGCGGCGGCCGAGCGCUUAGGGCCCCAGCACGUGGCUCUUCCCUGCGCGCGUGCGUCGGCCGCGGGGCCACCGCGCCAAGUGCGGGCCGGAGCGCGCCAGCGUUGGCCCCGGCUUGUGCCUCCCCGGGUGCUCGCCCAGGGCACGGGGUCCCGGGGAGCCCUGCCCGCAGAGGUGGGCCCCUGUGCGCCGCACGCUGGGGGUCCAGCGGAGCUCACUAGCCGGAAAUUGAAGGCCCUGGGCAGGUGCAGCCCAUCCGCCGCGCAGAGCACCCCGCCCCCUGCCGCCAGGUGCCGCCGAAGCCCCGCCCAGGUUCGUGGCGUGGGAGCCAAGCCCGCGCGCCUCACGUGUUGGGCUCAGUCUCGCCCGCCUGUGGGCGCAGGUCCCGAGGUCUAAGGAGGAAAGUUUGUGUUGAGGUUAGACCUCUUGCGCUCCACAGUUCCACCUCCCAGACUGUCAGCUUUCUAGAAGUUCCCGCAGUACUGUGGCUACCCUGAGCUGGGCCCUGCCCCAGCCAUGGCACCCCUCGGUUGACUCCUAACACCACCUACACUUUGCCGGAGAGGAGUUAAAUACCAGAUUCCAGCUUGGAGAACGAAACAGCAGCUUAGUGGCAAGCGACAGGAAAGGACAAGGAAAACAGGCCUGGGCCCCGGCCCAGACCUCUCUGCUGAGACAGCUGCGGUGGACUCCGGGUGGCCUCUGCCACCCCAUCUUGGGCUGGCUUUGUGGAGACUUGUGUCCUACCAUAACACAUACUAGCUGAAGCUUUUGGUCUGCAUGCAGUUCCUGGGCAGUAAGACCUAAAGAUAAAAUGAUGAUAUACAGACAGUAAGUCUACCAGAAGCAACACUUACAUAAUGCCAAGAAA